UAAAUUUUGAAAACCCGGCUAAGUGAAUCAUAGAAUGUUAAGCACUACACCACGACUUAAGAUUAGAUUCAAGGAGACCUAUUGAGAAUAGAUUUCUUGUAGGCUUUGAGCGUCAGGAGGAUUAGCACUGCUAUUCCGAUUCAGAGAUAACGUUAAACGACAGGCAUUGCCUAUACAGGUUAAUGGCUGGUGAUGACGGGGCAGAGCUGAGGCUAGAGUUCAACUCCUUAUUUUGACUUCCGCUGCAGAACUAGCCAGUAUCUGUCUUUUGUUCCUUAACUUAAGACCUAUUAUGUUGUGACUCUAAACAAUAUCUUUUGUUGAGCCUAGACUAUUGACUCUCAAGUAUUUCGAUCAGUGAAUGUUGGUUAUCUGAAGCAUGACACUAAACUUGUGAUCCUGAAGUUAUUAUGUUUGUUGAUGGAUUCGUAUCACUUGAAUACCUGUCUUUCUUCA